GCAUUUUUUGCAGGUUGCUCGCGGCUCACGAAUGCUUAUAUCCCGUGUGUCGUUCAAUAGUCGACACAACUUUGAAGAACCGCCUCAAAGCCUCCCAAUGACAAAACUUGAGAGCCUGAAGACCAUUGCAAGGGCAUCGAGAAUAGGGGUCGAUGAUUGCUGGACCUUCUCUAUGAUUUUUCACCAUAUCUGACAUCCAUUUUUCGAUUCCGGGCAAUCCCCAAAGUCCCGCUCGUGCGAG
rnacentral:misc_RNA from 1 species